CGCCUGUUUAUCAAAAACAUCGCCUCUUGCUAACAAUGAAGUAUUAGAGGUCCCGCCUGCCCUGUGACAGCAGUGUUUAACGGCCGCGGUAUUUUAACCGCGCGAAGGUAGCGUAAUCACUUGUCUUUUAAAUGGAGACCUGUAUGAAUGGCAUAACGAGGGUUUAACUGUCUCCUUUUCCUGGUCAAUGAAAUUGAUCUGUCCGUGCAGAAGCGGACAUAAUUACAUAAGACGAGAAGACCCUAUGGAGCUUUAGGCGAAUGAUCAAGCACACCCAGCCCCUUAUCUAAACAACCCCGGGGAAACAAAAGCUGAUGAUCAAGAUGCCUUCGGUUGGGGCGACCAUGGAGUAAAGAAAAACCUCCAAGUGGAAAGGGAAAACCCCUUAGCCAAGAGAAACAGCUCUAAGCACCAGAAAAUCUGACCAACGAUGAUCCAGGACACCCCUGAUCAACGAACCCAGUUACCCUAGGGAUAACAGCGCAAUCCUCUCCCAGAGUCCAUAUCGACGAGGGGGUUUACGACCUCGAUGUUGGAUCAGGACAUCCUAGUGGUGCAGCCGCUAUUAAGGGUUCGUUUGUUCAACGAUUAAUAGUCCUACGUGAUCUGAGUUCAGACCGG
rnacentral:rRNA from 1 species